CAGCCAGCUCGGUAAACACAGGUGCUAAAUAUCCCCCAGUGACUUCAGUCCUCUCCACUUAAGACAGUUCACCUGCUCCUGGCCUCUGCGAUUUCUGUUUUCUUUCUGAAAUGGCCGUGUGGCCAGGAAAUCUAUGUGUGUCACUCCGCCUGCUCCUAGCUCUUCCAACUUCAUCGACCAAGAACUGUUCCCAUGGGGUGGAAGUUCCAAACUGGCUUCUUAAAGAGACUUCUAAUUUCUUCCAAACUAAAUGGUAAAUCAACGAAGAAAACACAGGCCACCUUGCAAACCUCUUUGGGCUGCAGGUGCACUUCUGAGAGGAGUAAGGAGGAGUUUCUCCCCAGGAAGAGCCUGCCAAAAGAAGAGCAGUGUUCUAGGGUGGUGGUUCUUAAACGCUAGCAUGAGAAGGCACGGACUGCUGCCCCCUCUCCCCGCCCCCCCAGAGUUUCUGAUUCAAAAGGGCCAGGGUGGGGCUGGAGAAUUUGCAUUUCCAGCAAGCUGCCAGAAGAUGCUGAUGCUUCUAGUCCAAGAACCACUGUUCAAGGCAAAAGGGACAGACAGCAAAGCCUUGAGACAGCAAAGAGCUUGGUGCAUUCAAGGACUAGAAAGGAGUCUGGCGUGGCUGCAGG
rnacentral:lncRNA from 1 species